CUGUAACCGAUGUCGAUUUGGAGUUUGUUGCCUAGAGUGAUGGGCUCCGAAGCUAACGCGAUAAAUCGACCGCUGGGGAGUACGGCCGCAAGGUUAAAACUCAAAUGAAUUGACGGGGGCCCGCACAGCGGUGGAGCAUGUGGUUUAAUUCGAUGCAACGCGAAGAACCUUACCUGGUCUUGACAUCCAUAGAAUUCUGCAGAGAUGUGGGAGUGCCUUCGGGAACUAUGAGACAGGUGCUGCAUGGCUGUCGUCAGCUCGUGUUGUGAAAUGUUGGGUUAAGUCCCGCAACGAGCGCAACCCUUAUUCUUUGUUGCCAGCGAUUUGGUCGGGAACUCAAAGGAGACUGCCGUUGAUAAAGCGGAGGAAGGUGGGGACGACGUCAAGUCAUCAUGGCCCUUACGACCAGGGCUACACACGUGCUACAAUGGCGUAUACAAAGGGAAGCGAAGGUGCGAGCUGGAGCGGAUCUCAUAAAGUACGUCUAAGUUCGGAUUGGAGUCUGCAACUCGACUCCAUGAAGUCGGAAUCGCUAGUAAUCGUAGAUCAGAAUGCUACGGUGAAUACGUUCCCGGGCCUUGUACACACCGCCCGUCACACCAUGGGAGUGGGUUGCACCAGAAGUAGAUAGCUUAACCGCGAGGGGGGCGUUUACCACGGUGUGAUUCAUGACUGGGGUGAAGUCGUAACAAGGUAACCA
rnacentral:rRNA from 1 species